CCACGCUGUAAACGUUGGGAACUAGGUGUGGGGAUGCUAUCCUGUGUUUCUGCGCCGUAGCUAACGCAUUAAGUUCCCCGCCUGGGGAGUACGGUCGCAAGGCUAAAACUCAAAGGAAUUGACGGGGGCCCGCACAAGCGGCGGAGCAUGCGGAUUAAUUCGAUGCAACGCGAAGAACCUUACCAAGGCUUGACAUACACUGCGAUGGUUCCAGAGAUGGGCCAGCCUUCGGGGUGGUGUACAGGUGGUGCAUGGUUGU
rnacentral:rRNA from 1 species